UACGAAGGGGGCUAGCGUUGCUCGGAAUCACUGGGCGUAAAGCGCACGUAGGCGGAUUGUUAAGUCAGGGGUGAAAUCCUGGAGCUCAACUCCAGAACUGCCUUUGAUACUGGCGAUCUUGAGUCCGGGAGAGGUGAGUGGAACUGCGAGUGUAGAGGUGAAAUUCGUAGAUAUUCGGCAAAGAACACCAGUGGCGAAGGCGGCUCAC
rnacentral:rRNA from 1 species